rnacentral:rRNA from 5 species
GGUUGAUCCUGCCAGUAGUCAUAUGCUUGUCUCAAAGAUUAA